rnacentral:rRNA from 1 species
GACGAACGCUGGCGGCGUGCUUAACACAUGCAAGUCGAACGGAAGGGCCCCUUGUGGGGUACUCGAGUGGCGAACGGGUGAGUAACACGUGAGUAACCUACCCUUGACUUUGGGAUAACUUCAGGAAACUGGGGCUAAUACCGGAUAGGAGCUCCUGCUGCAUGGUGGGGGUUGGAAAGUUUCGGCGGUUGGGGAUGGGCUCGCGGCUUAUCAGCUUGUUGGUGGGGUAGUGGCUCACCAAGGCUUUGACGGGUAGCCGGCCUGAGAGGGUGACCGGCCACAUUGGGACUGAGAUACGGCCCAGACUCCUACGGGAGGCAGCAGUGGGGAAUAUUGCACAAUGGGCGGAAGCCUGAUGCAGCAACGCCGCGUGCGGGAUGACGGCCUUCGGGUUGUAAACCGCUUUCGCCUGUGACGAAGCGUGAGUGACGGUAAUGGGUAAAGAAGCACCGGCUAACUACGUG